GACGAACGCUGGCGGCGUGCUUAACACAUGCAAGUCGAACGGAAAGACCCUGCUUUUUUGUGCUGCUCGAGUGGCGAACGGGUGAGUAACACGUGAGUAACCUGCCCUUGACUUUGGGAUAACUUCAGGAAACUGGGGCUAAUACCGGAUAGGAGCUCCUGCUGCAUGGUGGGGGUUGGAAAGUUUCGGCGGUUGGGGAUGGACUCGCGGCUUAUCAGCUUGUUGGUGGGGGAGUGGCUUACCAAGGCUUUGACGGGUAGCCGGCCUGAGAGGGUGACCGGCCACCUUGGGACUGAGAUACGGCCCAGACUCCUACGGGAGGCAGCAGUCGGGAAUAUUGCACAAUGGGCGGAAGCCUGAUGCAGCAACGCCGCGUGCGGGAUGACGGCCUUCGGGUUGUAAACCGCUUUCGCCUGAGACGAAGCGUGAGUGACGGUAAUGGGUAAAGAAGCACCGGCUAACUACGUG
rnacentral:rRNA from 1 species